rnacentral:rRNA from 1 species
UACGGAGGGAGCUAGCGUUGUCCGGAAUUAUUGGGCGUAAAGAGCUUGUAGGCGGUUUGUCGCGUCUGCUGUGAAAACCUGGGGCUCAACCCCGGGCCUGCAGCCGAUACGGGCAGCUAGAGUUCGGUAGGGGGAGACUGGAAUUCCUGGUGUAGCGGUGAAAAUGCGCAGAUAUCAGGAGGAACACCGGUGGCGAAGGCGGGGUCUCUGGG